rnacentral:rRNA from 1 species
AUUAAACGCUGGCGGCAUGCCUUACACAUGCAAGUCGAACGGCAGCACGGGGGCAACCCUGGUGGCGAGUGGCGAACGGGUGAGUAAUGCAUCGGAACGUACCUUUCAGUGGGGGAUAACGUAGCGAAAGUUACGCUAAUACCGCAUAUUCUGUGAGCAGGAAAGCAGGGGAUCGCAAGACCUUGCGCUGAUUGAGCGGCCGAUGUCAGAUUAGCUAGUUGGUGAGGUAAAGGCUCACCAAGGCGACGAUCUGUAGCGGGUCUGAGAGGAUGAUCCGCCACACUGGAACUGAGACACGGUCCAGACUCCUACGGGAGGCAACAGUGGGGAAUUUUGGACAAUGGGGGCAACCCUGAUCCAGCCAUGCCGCGUGAGUGAAGAAGGCCU